rnacentral:RNase_P_RNA from 1 species
AUAAGAGACAGACAGAGAACAGACCGCCGAUGGCCGCCCCACAAGGGCGGAUCAGGCAAGGGUGAAACGGUGCGGUAAGAGCGCACCGCUCGCGUGGUGACACGCGGGGCACGGCAAACCCCACCGGGUGCAAGGCCAAAUAGGGGGCGAUGGGACGGCCCGUCCCGAUCCCGAAAGGGAUAAGUCCCGGGUUGGCCGCUGGAGCCGCGCGGCAACGUGCGGCCUUAGAUAAAUGGUCGCAGCCCGAAAGGGUUACAGAAUUCGGCUUACCGCCCGCUCGCCGG